rnacentral:rRNA from 1 species
GACGAACGCUGGCGGCGUGCUUAACACAUGCAAGUCGAGCGAUGAAGUUUUUUCGGAAAUGGAUUAGCGGCGAACGGGUGAGGAACACGUGAAGAAUCUGCCCUCCACUUUGGGAUAACACAGGGAAACCUGUGCUAAUACCGAAUAUUGAAACAUAAGUGGCAUCACUGAGUUUUGAAGGAAUUUCGGUGGAGGAUGACUUCGCGGCCUAUCAGCUAGUUGGUGAGGUAAUGGCUCACCAAGGCAACGACGGGUAGCCGGCCUGAGAGGGCGACCGGCCACACUGGGACUGAGACACGGCCCAGACUCCUACGGGAGGCAGCAGUGGGGAAUAUUGGGCAAUGGAGGAAACUCUGACCCAGCGACGCCGCGUGCGGGAUGAAGGCCUUCGGGUUGUAAACCGCUUUCAGUAGGGAAGAAGCGAAAGUGACGGUACCUACAAAAGAAGCACCGGCUAACUAUGUGCCAGCAGCCGCGGUAA